GUUCUUUAUUCCUGCACUUUUGUUUUUUAAAUCUUUAACUGUCAAAGUAUCUCAUUACUGAGUUUCUGGAGUUCAGUGAUCCAACUAAUGUUACACAGACUGUCAACACACUCUCAACAGUGUGAGCAGCUCUGGCUAAGGAAACUCCUCUUCUCCACUAAAGGCUACACUCUAAAAAAAGAUGGCUCAUUAGGCCUACUGAUUUUCUGGAGUUCAGCUAUCCAACUACACAGACAGUCAACACACUCUCAGCAGUUUAAGAGAACAUGUAGGUGUGACCAGCCCUGUUCAGUUAAGGACACUUUUCUCUUCUUCACCACUAAGUAACAAAAAUAUUUAAUAGUGUCAAUAGACACUGCAG
ensembl:lncRNA